rnacentral:rRNA from 1 species
CCUACGGGUGGCAGCAGUGGGGAAUAUUGCACAAUGGGGGAAACCCUGAUGCAGCGACGCCGCGUGAGUGAAGAAGUAUCUCGGUAUGUAAAGCUCUAUCAGCAGGGAAGAAAAUGACGGUACUUGAUUAAAAAGCCCCAGCUAACUACGAGCCAGCAGCCGCGGUAACACGGAGACUGCGAGCGUUAUCCGGAUUUGGUGGGUUUAAAGGGUGCGCAGGCGGAAGAUCAAGUGUGCGGUAAAAGUGAGAGGCUCAACCUCGUCGGGCCGUUGAAACUGGUUUACUUGAGUGAGUGAGAAGGAAGCGGAAUGCGUGGUGUAGCAGUGAAAUGCGUAGAUAUCACGCAGAACUCCCAUUGCGAAGGCGGCAUACCGGCGCUCAACUGACGCUCAUGCACGAAAGUGUGGGUAUCGAACAGGAUUAGAUACCCUAGUAGUC